rnacentral:rRNA from 1 species
GAGUUUGAUCAUGGCUCAGAACGAACGCUGGCGGCGUGCCUAACACAUGCAAGUCGUACGAGAAACACGUCCUUCGGGGCGUGGAGUAAAGUGGCGCACGGGUGAGUAACACGUGGGUAACCUGCCCUUGGAACCGGGAUAACUGGCCGAAAGGCCCGCUAAUACCGGAUAAGACUUCAUGAGCUUCGGCUCAUGCGGCCAAAGUCGGCCUCUCGAAGAAGCCGGCGCCUGAGGAUGGGCCCGCGGACCAUUAGCUAGUUGGUGAGGUAACGGCUCACCAAGGCCGAGAUGGUUAGCUGGUCUGAGAGGAUGAUCAGCCACACUGGAACUGAGAUACGGUCCAGACUCCUACGGGAGGCAGCAGUGAGGAAUAUUGCGCAAUGGAGGCAACUCUGACGCAGCAACGCCGCGUGGGUGAAGAAGGCUUUCGGGUUGUAAAGCCCUGUCAGGUGGGAAGAAACCUCUUCUAGUGAAUAGCUAGAGGAACUGACGGUACCACCAAAGGAAGCACCGGCUAACUCCGUGCCAGCAGCCGCGGUAGACGGAGGGUGCAAGCGUUGUUCGGAAUCACUG